rnacentral:rRNA from 1 species
GGGUUGUGAGGUUAAGCGACUAAGCGUACACGGUGGAUGCCCUGGCAGUCAGAGGCGAUGAAGGACGUGCUAAUCUGCGAUAAGCGUCGGUAAGGUGAUAUGAACCGUUAUAACCGGCGAUUUCCGAAUGGGGAAACCCAGUGUGUUUCGACACACUAUCAUUAACUGAAUCCAUAGGUUAAUGAGGCGAACCGGGGGAACUGAAACAUCUAAGUACCCCGAGGAAAAGAAAUCAACCGAGAUUCCCCCAGUAGCGGCGAGCGAACGGGGAGCAGCCCAGAGCCUGAAUCAGUGUGUGUGUUAGUGGAAGCGUCUGGAAAGGCGCGCGAUACAGGGUGACAGCCCCGUACACAAAAAUGCACAUGCUGUGAGCUCGAUGAGUAGGGCGGGACACGUGGUAUCCUGUCUGAAUAUGGGGGGACCAUCCUCCAAGGCUAAAUACUCCUGACUGACCGAUAGUGAACCAGUACCGUGAGGGAAAGGCGAAAAGAACCCCGGCGAGGGGAGUGAAAAAGAACCUGAAACCGUGUACGUACAAGCAGUGGGAGCCUCUUUUAUGGGGUGACUGCGUACCUUUUGUAUAAUGGGUCAGCGACUUAUAUUCUGUAGCAAGGUUAACCGAAUAGGGGAGCCGAAGGGAAACCGAGUCUUAACUGGGCGUUAAGUUGCAGGGUAUAGACCCGAAACCCGGUGAUCUAGCCAUGGGCAGGUUGAAGGUUGGGUAACACUAACUGGAGGACCGAACCGACUAAUGUUGAAAAAUUAGCGGAUGACUUGUGGCUGGGGGUGAAAGGCCAAUCAAACCGGGAGAUAGCUGGUUCUCCCCGAAAGCUAUUUAGGUAGCGCCUCGUGAAUUCAUCUCCGGGGGUAGAGCACUGUUUCGGCAAGGGGGUCAUCCCGACUUACCAACCCGAUGCAAACUGCGAAUACCGGAGAAUGUUAUCACGGGAGACACACGGCGGGUGCUAACGUCCGUCGUGAAGAGGGAAACAACCCAGACCGCCAGCUAAGGUCCCAAAGUCAUGGUUAAGUGGGAAACGAUGUGGGAAGGCCCAGACAGCCAGGAUGUUGGCUUAGAAGCAGCCAUCAUUUAAAGAAAGCGUAAUAGCUCACUGGUCGAGUCGGCCUGCGCGGAAGAUGUAACGGGGCUAAACCAUGCACCGAAGCUGCGGCAGCGACGCUUAUGCGUUGUUGGGUAGGGGAGCGUUCUGUAAGCCUGUGAAGGUGUGCUGUGAGGCAUGCUGGAGGUAUCAGAAGUGCGAAUGCUGACAUAAGUAACGAUAAAGCGGGUGAAAAGCCCGCUCGCCGGAAGACCAAGGGUUCCUGUCCAACGUUAAUCGGGGCAGGGUGAGUCGACCCCUAAGGCGAGGCCGAAAGGCGUAGUCGAUGGGAAACAGGUUAAUAUUCCUGUACUUGGUGUUACUGCGAAGGGGGGACGGAGAAGGCUAUGUUGGCCGGGCGACGGUUGUCCCGGUUUAAGCGUGUAGGCUGGUUUUCCAGGCAAAUCCGGAAAAUCAAGGCUGAGGCGUGAUGACGAGGCACUACGGUGCUGAAGCAACAAAUGCCCUGCUUCCAGGAAAAGCCUCUAAGCAUCAGGUAACAUCAAAUCGUACCCCAAACCGACACAGGUGGUCAGGUAGAGAAUACCAAGGCGCUUGAGAGAACUCGGGUGAAGGAACUAGGCAAAAUGGUGCCGUAACUUCGGGAGAAGGCACGCUGAUAUGUAGGUGAAGCGACUUGCUCGUGGAGCUGAAAUCAGUCGAAGAUACCAGCUGGCUGCAACUGUUUAUUAAAAACACAGCACUGUGCAAACACGAAAGUGGACGUAUACGGUGUGACGCCUGCCCGGUGCCGGAAGGUUAAUUGAUGGGGUCAGCGCAAGCGAAGCUCUUGAUCGAAGCCCCGGUAAACGGCGGCCGUAACUAUAACGGUCCUAAGGUAGCGAAAUUCCUUGUCGGGUAAGUUCCGACCUGCACGAAUGGCGUAAUGAUGGCCAGGCUGUCUCCACCCGAGACUCAGUGAAAUUGAACUCGCUGUGAAGAUGCAGUGUACCCGCGGCAAGACGGAAAGACCCCGUGAACCUUUACUAUAGCUUGACACUGAACAUUGAGCCUUGAUGUGUAGGAUAGGUGGGAGGCUUUGAAGUGUGGACGCCAGUCUGCAUGGAGCCGACCUUGAAAUACCACCCUUUAAUGUUUGAUGUUCUAACGUUGACCCGUAAUCCGGGUUGCGGACAGUGUCUGGUGGGUAGUUUGACUGGGGCGGUCUCCUCCUAAAGAGUAACGGAGGAGCACGAAGGUUGGCUAAUCCUGGUCGGACAUCAGGAGGUUAGUGCAAUGGCAUAAGCCAGCUUGACUGCGAGCGUGACGGCGCGAGCAGGUGCGAAAGCAGGUCAUAGUGAUCCGGUGGUUCUGAAUGGAAGGGCCAUCGCUCAACGGAUAAAAGGUACUCCGGGGAUAACAGGCUGAUACCGCCCAAGAGUUCAUAUCGACGGCGGUGUUUGGCACCUCGAUGUCGGCUCAUCACAUCCUGGGGCUGAAGUAGGUCCCAAGGGUAUGGCUGUUCGCCAUUUAAAGUGGUACGCGAGCUGGGUUUAGAACGUCGUGAGACAGUUCGGUCCCUAUCUGCCGUGGGCGCUGGAGAACUGAGGGGGGCUGCUCCUAGUACGAGAGGACCGGAGUGGACGCAUCACUGGUGUUCGGGUUGUCAUGCCAAUGGCACUGCCCGGUAGCUAAAUGCGGAAGAGAUAAGUGCUGAAAGCAUCUAAGCACGAAACUUGCCCCGAGAUGAGUUCUCCCUGACUCCUUGAGAGUCCUGAAGGAACGUUGAAGACGACGACGUUGAUAGGCCGGGUGUGUAAGCGCAGCGAUGCGUUGAGCUAACCGGUACUAAU